UGGGGAAUUUUGCACAAUGGGCGCAAGCCUGAUGCAGCCAUGCCGCGUGUAUGAAGAAGGCCUUCGGGUUGUAAAGUACUUUCAGUCGGGAGGAAGGUGGUAAGGUUAAUAACCUUAUCAAUUGACGUUACCGACAGAAGAAGCACCGGCUAACUCCGUGCCAGCAGCCGCGGUAAUACGGAGGGUGCAAGCGUUAAUCGGAAUUACUGGGCGUAAAGCGCACGCAGGCGGUUGAUUGAGUCAGAUGUGAAAUCCCCGGGCUUAACCCGGGAAUUGCAUCUGAUACUGGGCAGGUAGAGUCUUGUAGAGGGGGGUAGAAUUCCAGGUGUAGCGGUGAAAUGCGUAGAGAUGUGGAGGAAUACCGGUGGCGAAGGCGGCCCCCUGGACAAAGACUGACGCUCAGGUGCGAAAGCGUGGGGAGCAAACAGG
rnacentral:rRNA from 1 species